CAGCUCCUCGACUUGCAGUCCAGCUCUCCCGGAUGGAGCGAAAAAAAACGUGAAGUUUUUUGAGGCCCAGCAGGCAGCACCAACGCCCAUCAAGCUAGGUUUGAGAUGUCAGCUCGCUAACGUCCAACACGUCUUCACGGCGCUGAUCCAAGAUCAAGAUACAGUUCUUUCACAUGUUAGCAAUGCUUGGGUUCUUAAGUCUUGCUCAGUCUUUAACUUCAAAACAUCCAUUAGAAAUAUAUUUCAAAGCUUGUAAGAGCAAAGAUUAAAACUGCAGGGACUGAAGGUCUUCUGUUGUGAAAGCAUACAUGGGUUGUCCCAUCCUUUUCCCUUCCCCCACUGUCCACACAAUGGCAGUGUUAGGUGUAGUCAGUCUUCUUUCUGGUUUUGUGUUGAGCGUGAAAGAAAAGCUACGUCCCUGGGUGGGCUCGAACCACCAACCUUUCGGUUAACAGCCGAACGCGCUAACCGAUUGCG